GACGAACGCUGGCGGCGUGCUUAACACAUGCAAGUCGAACGGAAAGGCCCUGCUUGCAGGGUACUCGAGUGGCGAACGGGUGAGUAACACGUGGGUGAUCUGCCCUGCACUUCGGGAUAAGCCUGGGAAACUGGGUCUAAUACCGGAUAGGAGCCAUUUUUAGUGUGAUGGUUGGAAAGUUUUUUCGGUGUAGGAUGAGCUGGCGGCCUAUCAGCUUGUUGGUGGGGUAAUGGCCUACCAAGGCGGCGACGGGUAGCCGGCCUGUGAGGGUGGACGGCCACAUUGGGACUGAGAGGAGGCCCAGACUCCGACGGGAGGCAGCAGUGGGGAAUAUUGAACAAUGGGCGCAAGCCUGAUGCAGCGAGGCCGCGUGGGGGAUGACGGCCUUCGGGUUGUAAACUCCUUUCGCUAGGGACGAAGCUUUUUGUGACGGUACCUAGAUAAGAAGCACCGGCUAACUACGUG
rnacentral:rRNA from 1 species